rnacentral:rRNA from 1 species
UACGGGGGGGGCAAGCGUUGUUCGGAAUUACUGGGCGUAAAGGGCUCGUAGGCGGCCAACUAAGUCAGACGUGAAAUCCCUCGGCUUAACUGAGGACGUGCGGAAGAAACUGCAAGGCUCGAGUCCGGGAGAGGGGGGUGGAAUUCCCAGUGUAGCGGUGAAAUGCGUAGAUAUUGGGAGGAACACCGGUGGCGAAGGCGGCCCCCUGGACCGGUACUGACGCUGAGGCGCGAAAGCGUGGGUAGCAAACGGG